rnacentral:rRNA from 1 species
AACGAACGCUGGCGGCAUGCCUAACACAUGCAAGUCGAACGAGACCUUCGGGUCUGGUGGCGCACGGGUGCGUAACGCGUGGGAACCUGCCCUUAGGUUCGGAAUAACUCCCCGACAGGGGUGCUAAUACCGGAUAAUGUCUUCGGACCAAAGAUUUAUCGCCUUUGGAUGGGCCCGCGUUGGAUUAGCUAGUUGGUAGGGUAAAAGCCUACCAAGGCGACGAUCCAUAGCUGGUAUGAGAGGAUGAUCAGCCACACUGGGAGUGAGACACGGCCCGGACUCCUACGGGAGGCAGCAGUGGGGAAUAUUGGACAAUGGGCGAAAGACUGAUCCAGCAAUGCCGCGUGAGUGAUGAAGGCCUUAGGGUUGUAAAGCUCUUUUACCCGGGAUGAUAAUGACAGUACCGGGAGAAUAAGCGCCGGCUAACUACGUG